UUAAGCGACUAAGCGUACACGGUGGAUGCCCUGGCAGUCAGAGGCGAUGAAGGACGUGCUAAUCUGCGAUAAGCGUCGGUGAGGUGAUAUGAACCGUUAUAACCGGCGAUUUCCGAAUGGGGAAACCCAGUGUGUUUCGACACACUAUCAUUAACUGAAUCCAUAGGUUAAUGAGGCGAACCGGGGGAACUGAAACAUCUAAGUACCCCGAGGAAAAGAAAUCAACCGAGAUUCCCCCAGUAGCGGCGAGCGAACGGGGAGGAGCCCAGAGCCUGAAUCAGUGUGUGUGUUAGUGGAAGCGUCUGGAAAGGCGCGCGAUACAGGGUGACAGCCCCGUACACAAAAAUGCACAUACUGUGAGCUCGAUGAGUAGGGCGGGACACGUGGUAUCCUGUCUGAAUAUGGGGGGACCAUCCUCCAAGGCUAAAUACUCCUGACUGACCGAUAGUGAACCAGUACCGUGAGGGAAAGGCGAAAAGAACCCCGGCGAGGGGAGUGAAAAAGAACCUGAAACCGUGUACGUACAAGCAGUGGGAGCCUCUUAAUGGGGUGACUGCGUACCUUUUGUAUAAUGGGUCAGCGACUUAUAUUCUGUAGCAAGGUUAACCGAAUAGGGGAGCCGAAGGGAAACCGAGUCUUAACUGGGCGUUAAGUUGCAGGGUAUAGACCCGAAACCCGGUGAUCUAGCCAUGGGCAGGUUGAAGGUUGGGUAACACUAACUGGAGGACCGAACCGACUAAUGUUGAAAAAUUAGCGGAUGACUUGUGGCUGGGGGUGAAAGGCCAAUCAAACCGGGAGAUAGCUGGUUCUCCCCGAAAGCUAUUUAGGUAGCGCCUCGUGAAUUCAUCUCCGGGGGUAGAGCACUGUUUCGGCAAGGGGGUCAUCCCGACUUACCAACCCGAUGCAAACUGCGAAUACCGGAGAAUGUUAUCACGGGAGACACACGGCGGGUGCUAACGUCCGUCGUGAAGAGGGAAACAACCCAGACCGCCAGCUAAGGUCCCAAAGUCAUGGUUAAGUGGGAAACGAUGUGGGAAGGCCCAGACAGCCAGGAUGUUGGCUUAGAAGCAGCCAUCAUUUAAAGAAAGCGUAAUAGCUCACUGGUCGAGUCGGCCUGCGCGGAAGAUGUAACGGGGCUAAACCAUGCACCGAAGCUGCGGCAGCGACACUAUGUGUUGUUGGGUAGGGGAGCGUUCUGUAAGCCUGUGAAGGUGGCCUGUGAGGGUUGCUGGAGGUAUCAGAAGUGCGAAUGCUGACAUAAGUAACGAUAAAGCGGGUGAAAAGCCCGCUCGCCGGAAGACCAAGGGUUCCUGUCCAACGUUAAUCGGGGCAGGGUGAGUCGACCCCUAAGGCGAGGCCGAAAGGCGUAGUCGAUGGGAAACAGGUUAAUAUUCCUGUACUUGGUGUUACUGCGAAGGGGGGACGGAGAAGGCUAUGUUGGCCGGGCGACGGUUGUCCCGGUUUAAGCGUGUAGGCUGGUUUUCCAGGCAAAUCCGGAAAACCAAGGCUGAGGCGUGAUGACGAGGCACUACGGUGCUGAAGCGACAAAUGCCCUGCUUCCAGGAAAAGCCUCUAAGCAUCAGGUAACAUCAAAUCGUACCCCAAACCGACACAGGUGGUCAGGUAGAGAAUACCAAGGCGCUUGAGAGAACUCGGGUGAAGGAACUAGGCAAAAUGGUGCCGUAACUUCGGGAGAAGGCACGCUGAUAUGUAGGUGAAGCGACUUGCUCGUGGAGCUGAAAUCAGUCGAAGAUACCAGCUGGCUGCAACUGUUUAUUAAAAACACAGCACUGUGCAAACACGAAAGUGGACGUAUACGGUGUGACGCCUGCCCGGUGCCGGAAGGUUAAUUGAUGGGGUUAGCGGCAACGCGAAGCUCUUGAUCGAAGCCCCGGUAAACGGCGGCCGUAACUAUAACGGUCCUAAGGUAGCGAAAUUCCUUGUCGGGUAAGUUCCGACCUGCACGAAUGGCGUAAUGAUGGCCAGGCUGUCUCCACCCGAGACUCAGUGAAAUUGAACUCGCUGUGAAGAUGCAGUGUACCCGCGGCAAGACGGAAAGACCCCGUGAACCUUUACUAUAGCUUGACACUGAACAUUGAGCCUUGAUGUGUAGGAUAGGUGGGAGGCUUUGAAGUGUAGACGCCAGUCUGCAUGGAGCCGACCUUGAAAUACCACCCUUUAAUGUUUGAUGUUCUAACGUUGGCCCGUAAUCCGGGUUGCGGACAGUGUCUGGUGGGUAGUUUGACUGGGGCGGUCUCCUCCUAAAGAGUAACGGAGGAGCACGAAGGUUGGCUAAUCCUGGUCGGACAUCAGGAGGUUAGUGCAAUGGCAUAAGCCAGCUUGACUGCGAGCGUGACGGCGCGAGCAGGUGCGAAAGCAGGUCAUAGUGAUCCGGUGGUUCUGAAUGGAAGGGCCAUCGCUCAACGGAUAAAAGGUACUCCGGGGAUAACAGGCUGAUACCGCCCAAGAGUUCAUAUCGACGGCGGUGUUUGGCACCUCGAUGUCGGCUCAUCACAUCCUGGGGCUGAAGUAGGUCCCAAGGGUAUGGCUGUUCGCCAUUUAAAGUGGUACGCGAGCUGGGUUUAGAACGUCGUGAGACAGUUCGGUCCCUAUCUGCCGUGGGCGCUGGAGAACUGAGGGGGGCUGCUCCUAGUACGAGAGGACCGGAGUGGACGCAUCACUGGUGUUCGGGUUGUCAUGCCAAUGGCACUGCCCGGUAGCUAAAUGCGGAAGAGAUAAGUGCUGAAAGCAUCUAAGCACGAAACUUGCCCCGAGAUGAGUUCUCCCUGAGACUUAGAGUCUCCUGAAGGAACGUUGAAGACGACGACGUUGAUAGGCCGGGUGUGUAAGCGCAGCGAUGCGUUGAGCUAACCGGUACUAAUGAACCGUGAGGCUUAACCUU
rnacentral:rRNA from 1 species